rnacentral:rRNA from 1 species
UACGUAGGCAGCAAGCGUUGUUCGGAAUUACUGGGCGUAAAGAGUGUGUAGGCGGUGCUCUAAGUUCGGUGUGAAAUCUCCCGGCUCAACUGGGAGGGUGCGCCGAAAACUGGAGUGCUGGAGCGCGGGAGAGGAAAGCGGAAUUCCUGGUGUAGCGGUGGAAAUGCGUAGAUAUCAGGGGGAACACCGGCGGUGUAGACGG